AUUGAACGCUGGCGGUAGGCCUAACACAUGCAAGUCGAACGGCAGCACAGUAAUAGCUUGCUCUUACGGGUGCCGAGUGGCGGGCGGGUGAGGAAUACAUCGGAAUCUACUUUUUCGUGGGUGAUAACGUAGGCAAACUUACGCUAUUACCGCAUACGACCUACGGGUGAAAGCAGGGGAUCUUCGGACCUUGCGCGAUUGUAUGAGGCGAUGUCGGAUUAGCUAGUUGGCGGGGUAAAGGCCCACCAAGGCGACGAUCCGUAGCUGGUCUGAGAGGAUGAUCAGCCACACUGGAACUGAGACACGGUCCAGACUCCUACGGGAGGCAGCAGUGGGGAAUAUUGGACAAUGGGCGCAAGCCUGAUCCAGCCAUGCCGCGUGGGUGAAGAAGGUCUUCGGAUUGUAAAGCACUUUUGUUGGGAAAGAAGAGCAGUAGGUUAAUACCCCGCUGUUUUGACGGUACCAAAAGAAUAAGCACCGGCUAACUUCGUG
rnacentral:rRNA from 1 species